GUUGUCUUGGAACCAAGAGACCAUGGUUCGAUUCCUCCUAGUGCC
rnacentral:tRNA from 1 species